rnacentral:lncRNA from 1 species
ACCUCGCUUGUCUUGCUCCUGUGAGACGAGCGGAAUACCGACGACCAAAACGACGGUGUUUUAGUCCGUCCGCCGCUCUGGGGCUCGCUCCUGUCGCCGGCGGAGUCAAAGUCCGCGUGUCUAAAAGCGCCGCCGAGAAACUUCGACGUGGAGCGCAGAAAAGGGACCGCAACCGACCGGGACCGCCGGAAAGACGGCUCGCUCUCGAGAAUCUUGGAGACUCGGACGCCGUCGCCGGCGGGGAAGCGAGAGGACGAAGAAGAAGACGAGGAAGACGACGUCGUGGCGCAGCAACCGCAGGGGCGGACGUUAGCGCAGUCGGGGCAG